rnacentral:rRNA from 1 species
AAAGCAGAGUAAUGUCUGCCGCCCUUCGGGGCAUUGGAGACAGGUGGUGCAUGGUUGUCGUCAGCUCGUGUCGUGAGAUGUUGGGUUAAGUCCCGCAACGAGCGCAACCCCUGCCGUCAGUAGCCAGCAGGUAAAGCUGGGCACUCUGAUGGGACAGCCUGGGAUAACCAGGAGGAAGGCGGGGAUGACGUCAAAUCAUCAUGCCCCUUAUGGCCAGGGCUACACACGUGCUACAAUGGCGUAAACAGAGGGAAGCGAGACAGCGAUGUUAAGCAAAGCCCAAAAAUAACGCCUCAGUUCGGAUUGCAGCCUGCAACUCGGCUGCAUGAAGCCGGAAUCGCUAGUAAUCGCGGAUCAGAAUGCCGCGGUGAAUACGUUCCCGGGUCUUGUACACACCGCCCGUCACACCAUGGGAGUCGGAAAUGCCCGAAGUCGGUGACCCAACUGAGAAGAGGGAGCCGCCGAAGGCAGGUCCGGUAACUGGGGUGAAGUCGUAACAAGGUAGCC